AGUUUUGUGCAGUGGCAGUAUCGUAGCCCAUAAGGUUUAUCUGAGGUGCCAUUAUUGCUAAUUGAAAACUUUUCCCAACUUAA
ensembl:snRNA U4 U4 spliceosomal RNA